rnacentral:rRNA from 1 species
GUGUCAGCAGCCGCGGUAAGACAGAGGUGGCGAGCGUUGUUCGGAAUUACUGGGCUUAAAGGGCGAGUAGGCGGUGGAGCAAGUCUGAGGUGGAAUCCUACGGCUUAACCGUAGAACUGCCUUAGAAACUGUUUUACUUGAGUCAGUGAGGGGAGGGCGGAAUUCCUGGUGUAGCGGUGAAAUGCGUAGAUAUCAGGAGGAAGGCCUGUGGCGAAAGUGGCCCUCUGGCACUGUACUGACGCUGAGGCGCGAAAGCGUGGGGAGCAAACAGGAUUAGAUACCCGAGUAGUCC